UACGUAGGGUGCAAGCGUUAAUCGGAAUUACUGGGCGUAAAGCGUGCGCAGGCGGCUUUGCAAGUCAGAUGUGAAAUCCCCGGGCUCAACCUGGGAACUGCAUUUGAGACUGCAUGGCUAGAGUACGGUAGAGGGGGAUGGAAUUCCGCGUGUAGCAGUGAAAUGCGUAGAUAUGCGGAGGAACACCGAUGGCGAAGGCAAUCCCCUGGACCUGUACUGACGCUGAUGCACGAAAGCGUGGGGAGCAAACAGG
rnacentral:rRNA from 1 species